UGGGGAAUAUUGGACAAUGGGCGCAAGCCUGAUCCAGCCAUACCGCGUGGGUGAAGAAGGCCUUCGGGUUGUAAAGCCCUUUUGUUGGGAAAGAAAUCCAGCUGGCUAAUACCCGGUUGGGAUGACGGUACCCAAAGAAUAAGCACCGGCUAACUUCGUGCCAGCAGCCGCGGUAAUACGAAGGGUGCAAGCGUUACUCGGAAUUACUGGGCGUAAAGCGUGCGUAGGUGGUCGUUUAAGUCCGUUGUGAAAGCCCUGGGCUCAACCUGGGAACUGCAGUGGAUACUGGGCGACUAGAGUGUGGUAGAGGGUAGCGGAAUUCCUGGUGUAGCAGUGAAAUGCGUAGAGAUCAGGAGGAACAUCCAUGGCGAAGGCAGCUACCUGGACCAACACUGACACUGAGGCACGAAAGCGUGGGGAGCAAACAGGAUUAGAUACCCUGGUAGUCCACGCCCUAAACGAUGCGAACUGGAUGUUGGGUGCAAUUUGGCACGCAGUAUCGAAGCUAACGCGUUAAGUUCGCCGCCUGGGAGUACGGUCGCAAGACUGAAACUCAAAGGAAUUGAC
rnacentral:rRNA from 1 species